rnacentral:rRNA from 1 species
GCGAAAACUUUACAAUGCUGGCAACAGCGAUAAGGGAAACUCGAGUGCCAGGUUACAAAUCUGGCUGUCGUGAUGCCUAAAAAGCAUUGCAUAGCAAGGGCCGGGCAAGACCGGUGCCAGCCGCCGCGGUAACACCGGCGGCUCGAGUGGUAACCGUUAUUAUUGGGUCUAAAGGGUCUGUAGCCGGCCGGAUAAGUCUCUUGGGAAAUCUGGCAGCUUAACUGUCAGGCUUUCAGGAGAUACUGUCUGGCUCGAGGCCGGGAGAGGUAAGAGGUACUUCAGGGGUAGGGGUGAAAUCUUGUAAUCCGUGAAGGACCACCAGUGGCGAAGGCGUCUUACCAGAACGGACCUGACGGCAAGGGACGAAAGCUAGGGGCACGAACC